AUUGAACGCUGGCGGCAUGCCUAACACAUGCAAGUCGAACGGCAGCGCGGACUUCGGUCUGGCGGCGAGUGGCGGACGGGUGAGGAAUGCAUCGGAAUCUGCCCCGACGUGGGGGAUAACGUAGGGAAACUUACGCUAAUACCGCAUACGUCUUACGGGAGAAAGCAGGGGACCUUCGGGCCUUGCGCGGCGGGAUGAGCCGAUGCCGGAUUAGCUAGUUGGCGGGGUAAAGGCCCACCAAGGCGACGAUCCGUAGCUGGUCUGAGAGGAUGAUCAGCCACACUGGGACUGAGACACGGCCCAG
rnacentral:rRNA from 1 species